rnacentral:rRNA from 1 species
UGUUAGCGAGAGCCACAAAAAAGCGAAUUCCAAUACCAUGCACUCAGCUUGAUGUGCGCAUCCUCUACCUAUUAAGUGUUAAUUAAAUUAUAAGGGUUUCGUUUUUAAAAUCUUCUAUAACUAAUAAAAAAAUACGGAAGAUUUUGUUACUUUGAGUAUCGCUUUUUUUGGGGCUCUCGCUACAACA